AUGGAAUUAACGUUUGUAUUUUUUCUAGCUAUUUCAGAAAAUAAUUAUUACUUUUUAAUUAAUUAUACAUAGCAAUUUGGUUGGUUAUAAAAAAUGAGGUGAAUUUAACCAUUCACUUUGGACUGUGAACCUAAAUUUUGUUCAUAAAAUAUUGGGACCUAAAAUAUUUUAAGAACUGAACGAUCGUCUUCAGCUCCACUAUGAAAAAGGUAAUUGCUAAGCUAGUUAGGUAAGGAAUAGAAUAUGUAUCGGCAAAGAGUUGAAUCGAGUAAGUGUCGACGCACAUACUGUUUUUUUUUUUUUAAAGAAGAGACAAACUAUUUACUCGUCGACAUCCCCCUAUUUGAAUUUCGCUGGUUAUAAAAUGAAUAAUCAAACGAGUCAUAAGGCAACUUCUAGACAUUUGGUAUAUCCGUAGUUAAUAAAAUUAAUAAAGGUAAGCAUGAUAUUUGAUUACUGAUAUUUUUCAGACCACUUCGACUAUAGUACUAUUUUAAUGUGGGGAUGUCAUGUUGACCUGAUAGCAUGAAACACUGGAUACUCUUGUAUAUAAGAUAUACUUACAGAGACUAGUGACCAACCAUAUUCUUUUGUAUUAAAAACCCAUAAUUGAAUAUAUAAUAGCCUUUUUUGGCAAAUAAAUGAUCGAUAUCAUUGACCAACAUCGAUCAUUGUUAAUGACCAGUGACCAACAAAUUGUAAACGAGAAUAUGGAGUAAGUCCAGAGUCCAAAGAAAUUACAGAAGUGAAACAGUCAUAUGCCAUUUGCACUCAACGGCGAGAAGAAGCACAACAUGUGUUGCAUUGUAGAUGUGUAGGGGGGCUUAACGAUUGAUAGUGGGCCUUAUCAGUAUUCACAAACUAAUAUAGGCCCAGUACAUAACGCUAUGGGCUACACUUUCAAACUAUUGACAAGAAAACAUCCAUUUUGUUAAUUUUUGGAGUUCCACAAUUUCAUAAAAGGGCAUGUAAACUAAUGUUAGCAUUUUCUAUAUGUGUAUCUGUCGAAUUAUUAGACAUGAUAG
rnacentral:lncRNA from 1 species